rnacentral:rRNA from 1 species
UGAGUGGCUAAGCGAAAGUGAUAAGUAUCCCACCUGGGGAGUACGCUCGCAAGAGUGAAACUCAAGGGAAUUGACGGGGGCCCGCACAAGCGGAGGAGCAUGUGGUUUAAUUCGAUGAUACGCGAGGAACCUUACCAAGGCUUAAAUGGGAAACGACAGGUUUGGAAACAGAUCUUUCUUCGGACGUUUUUCAAGGUGCUGCAUGGUUGUCGUCAGC